rnacentral:rRNA from 1 species
GAUGAACGCUGGCGGCGUGCCUAAUACAUGCAAGUCGAGCGAACGGACGAGAAGCUUGCUUUUCUGAUGUUAGCGGCGGACGGGUGAGUAACACGUGGAUAACCUACCUAUAAGACUGGGAUAACUUCGGGAAACCGGAGCUAAUACCGGAUAAUAUUUUGAACCGCAUGGUUCAAAAGUGAAAGACGGUCUUGCUGUCACUUAUAGAUGGAUCCGCGCUGCAUUAGCUAGUUGGUAAGGUAACGGCUUACCAAGGCAACGAUGCAUAGCCGACCUGAGAGGGUGAUCGGCCACACUGGAACUGAGACACGGUCCAGCCGCCUACGGGAGGCAGCAGUAGGGAAUCUUCCGCGAUGGGCGAAAGCCUGACGGAGCAACGCCGCUUGAGUGAUGAAGGUCUUCUGAUCUUAAAACUCUGUUAUUAGGGAAGAACAUAUGUGUAAGUAACUGUGCACAUCUUGACGGUACCUAAUCGGAAAGCCACGGGUAACUAGGUG